GACGAACGCUGGCGGCGUGGAUUAGGCAUGCAAGUCGAACGGUAUCAUCCUUUCGGGGGUGAGAGAGUGGCGAACUGGUGAGUAACACGUAGGUUAUCUACCCUCAAGACGGGGACAACCCAGGGAAACUUGGGCUAAUACCGGAUGUGAGCAACUUUUAGUUGUUUGAAAGGUGGCGUAAGCUGUCGCUUGGGGAUGAGCCUGCGUCCUAUUAGUUAGUUGGUGAGGUAACGGCUCACCUAGGCAAUGAUAGGUAGGCGGCCUUAACGGGUGGUCGCCCACACUGGGAUUGAGAUACGGCCCAGACUCCUACGGGAGGCAGGCAGUCGAGAAUAGUCUACAAUGGUCGGAAGACUGAUAGUGCGACGCCGCGUGAACGAUGAAUCCCUUCGGGGUGUAAAGUUCUUUUAUAUGUGACGCAGUGCUUCUUAUAUUAACAGUAUGGGGAGAGAGAUAUUAGCAUAUGAAUAAGCAACGGCUAACUCCGUGCCAGCAGCCGCGGUAAACUCGU
rnacentral:rRNA from 1 species